rnacentral:rRNA from 1 species
AGAGUUUGAUCCUGGCUCAGAAUGACGCUGGCGGUAUGCNUAACACAUGCAAGUCGACGAGAGUUUUCGACUCUAGUGNCGGACGGGUGAGUAACACGUGAGAAUUUGCCUUUAGGAGGGGGAUAACAAUUGAAACGAAUGCUAAUACCCCAUAUGCUUUCGAGUGAAACGGAUUUAUCCGCCUAAAGAGAAGCUCGCGGCUGAUUAGCUUGUUGGUAAGGUAAGAGCUUACCAAGGCGACGAUCAGUAUCUGGUUUGAGAGGACGAUCAGACACACUGGAACUGAGACACGGUCCAGACUCCUACGGGAGGCAGCAGUGGGGAAUUUUCCGCAAUGGGCGAAAGCCUGACGGAGCAAUACCGCGUGAGGGAUGACUGCCUAUGGGUUGUAAACCUCUUUUUUCAGGGAGGAAUAAAUGACGUGUACCUGAAGAAUAAGCAUCGGCUAACUCCGUGCCAGCAGCCGCGGUAAGACGGAGGAUGCAAGUGUUAUCCGGAAUCACUGGGCGUAAAGCGUCUGUAGGUGGCUUAAUAAGUCAACUGUUAAAUCUUGAGGCUCAACUUCGAAAUCGCAGUCGAAACUAUUAGGCCAGAGUAUAGUAGAGGUAAAGGGAAUUCC